rnacentral:rRNA from 1 species
ACGAACGCUGGCGGCAUGCCUAACACAUGCAAGUCGCACGAGACCUUCGGGUCUAGUGGCGCACGGGUGCGUAACGCGUGGGAACCUGCCCUUAGGUUCGGAAUAACUCCCCGAAAGGGGUGCUAAUACCGGAUAAUGUCUUCGGACCAAAGAUUUAUCGCCUUUGGAUGGGCCCGCGUUGGAUUAGCUAGUUGGUAGGGUAAAAGCCUACCAAGGCGACGAUCCAUAGCUGGUCUGAGAGGAUGAUCAGCCACACUGGGACUGAGACACGGCCCAGACUCCUACGGGAGGCAGCAGUGGGGAAUAUUGGACAAUGGGCGAAAGCCUGAUCCAGCAAUGCCACGUGAGUGAUGAAGGCCUUAGGGUUGUAAAGCUCUUUUACCCGGGAUGAUAAUGACAGUACCGGGAGAAUAAGCUCCGGCUAACUCCGUG